rnacentral:rRNA from 1 species
AAUCAACGCUGGCGGCGUGCCUCAGACAUGCAAGUCGAACGCGAAAGGUUCCUUCGGGAGCCGAGUAGAGUGGCGCACGGGUGAGUAACACGUAGGUAAUUUACUUUUGGGUGGGGAAUAACAGUCGGAAACGGCUGCUAAUACCGCAUAAUGCAGCGGCUCGACAUCGAGACAGUUGUUAAAGCGGGGGAUUCGCAAGAACCUCGCGCCUGAAAAGAAGCCUGCGGCAGAUUAGCUUGUUGGUAGGGUAAUGGCCUACCAAGGCGACGAUCUGUAGCCGGCCUGAGAGGGCGGUCGGCCACACUGACACUGAAUAACGGGUCAGACUCCUACGGGAGGCAGCAGUCGGGAAUUUUGGGCAAUGGGCGAAAGCCUGACCCAGCAACGCCGCGUGAAGGAUGAAAUUUUCGGAAUGUAAACUUCGCAAGAAUGGGAAGAAUAAGUUCAGGCUAAUACCCUGAAUGAUGACGGUACCAUUUGUAAGCUCCGGCUAACUCCGUGCC